AUUGAACGCUGGCGGAAUGCUUUACACAUGCAAGUCGAACGGCAGCACGGGGCAACCUGGUGGCGAGUGGCGAACGGGUGAGUAAUGCAUCGGAAACGUGCCCAAUCGUGGGGGAUAACGUAGCGAAAGUUACGCUAAUACCGCAUACGAUCUACGGAUGAAAGCGGGGGAGUCGCAAGACCUCGCGCGAGUGGAGCGGCCGAUGUCAGAUUAGGUAGUUGGUGGGGUAAAGGCUCACCAAGCCAACGAUCUGUAGCUGGUCUGAGAGGACGACCAGCCACACUGGAACUGAGACACGGCCCAGACUCCUACGGGAGGCAGCAGUGGGGAAUAUUGGUCAAUGGACGCAAGUCUGAACCAGCCAUGCCGCGUGCAGGAUGACGGCCCUAUGGGUUGUAAAACUGCUUUUUAUACGGGGAAAAAAAUCCUUGCUCGUGAGCGAGGUUGAUGGUACUGUAAGAAUAAGGAUCGGCUAAACUCCGUGCCAGCAGCCGCGGUAA
rnacentral:rRNA from 1 species